rnacentral:rRNA from 1 species
GAUGAACGCUAGCGGCAGGCCUAACACAUGCAAGUCGAGGGGCAGCACAGAAACAGCAAUGUUUUGGUGGCGACCGGCGGACGGGUGCGUAACGCGUAUGCAACCUACCUUUAACAGGGGGAUAACGGAGAGAAAUUUCCACUAAUACCCCAUAACAUCGAUCAAGGCAUCUUGAUUGGUUGAAAACUCCGGUGGUUAAAGAUGGGCAUGCGUUGUGUUAGGUAGUUGGUGAGGUAAUGGCUCACCAAGCCUACGAUACAUAGGGGGACUGGUAGGUUAGCCCCCCACACUGGUACUGAGACACGGACCAGACUCCUACGGGAGGCAGCAGUGAGGAAUAUUGGUCAAUGGGGGCAACCCUGAACCAGCCAUGCCGCGUGCAGGAAGACGGCUCUAUGAGUUGUAAACUGCUUUUAAACAGGGAUAAAGCACAGUAUGUAUACUGUGUUGAAGGUACUGUAAGAAUAAGGAUCGGCUAACUCCGUGCCAGCAGCCGCCGUAA